rnacentral:rRNA from 1 species
UACGUAGGGAUCGAGCGUUGUCCGGAAUCAUUGGGCGUAAAGAGCGUGUAGGCGGCCACUUAAGUCCUGCGUGAAAUCUUGCGGCUCAACCGCAAGCGGUCGUGGGAAACUGGGUGGCUAGAGUGCGGGAGAGGAGAGUGGAAUUCCUGGUGUAGCGGUGGAAUGCGCAGAUAUCAGGAAGAACACCCGUGGCGAAGGCGGCUCUCUGGAACGCAACUGACGCUGAGACGCGAAAGCGUGGGGAGCAAACAGG